CGCAAGCCUGACGGAGCAAGACCGCGUGGGGGAUGACGGCCUAAUGGUUGUAAACCGCUUUUCUCUGGGAAGAUGAUGACGGUACCAGAGGAAUCAGCCUCGGCUAACUCCGUGCCAGCAGCCGCGGUAAUACGGAGGAGGCAAGCGUUAUCCGGAAUUAUUGGGCGUAAAGCGUCCGUAGGUGGUUAUUCAAGUCUGCUGUCAAAGCGUGGGGCUUAACUCCAUAGAGGCAGUGGAAACUGAGUGACUAGAGUGCGGUAGGGGUCGAGGGAAUUCCCAGUGUAGCGGUGAAAUGCGUAGAUAUUGGGAAGAACACCAGUGGCGAAAGCGCUCGACUGGGCCUGCACUGACACUGAGGGACGAAAGCUAGGGGAGCG
rnacentral:rRNA from 1 species